UGUCACAGCCAUAUCAGCCUGCAGCCCAACACUAGUUACUCACUGAAGCUAGAAGGGCUGGCCUGGUCAGUACCUGGAUGGGACACCACAUGGGAAAACUAGGUUGCUGUUGGAA
rnacentral:rRNA from 1 species